UGGUCAUGUGGCAUGAGAGGGCUCCAAGA
rnacentral:piRNA from 1 species